rnacentral:rRNA from 1 species
AMCAUGCAGUCGACGAUGAUGCCCAGCUUGCUGGGUGGAUUAGUGGCGAACGGGUGAGUAACACGUGAGUACCUGCCCCUGACUCUGGGAUAGCGUUGGAACGACGUCUAAUACUGGAUAUGAUCACCGGCCGCAUGGUCUGGUGGUGGAAAGAUUUUUUGGUUGGGGAUGGACUCGCGGCCUAUCAGCUUGUUGGUGAGGUAAUGGCUCACCAAGGCGACGACGGUAGCCGGCCUGAGAGGGUGACCGGCCACACUGGGACUGAGACACGGCCCAGACUCCUACGGGAGGCAGCAGUGGGGAAUAUUGCACAAUGGGCGAAGCCUGAUGCAGCAACGCCGCGUGAGGGAUGACGGCCUUCGGGUUGUAACCUCUUUAGUAGGAAGAGCGAAGUGACGGUACCUGCAGAAAAGCMCG